UACAGAGGGUGCGAGCGUUAAUCGUAAUUACUGGGCGUAAAGCGCACGUAGGCGGCUUUGCAAGUCGAGUGUGAAAUCCCCAGGCUUAACCUGGGAACUGCAUUCGAGACUGCAUAGCUAGAGUAUGGGAGAGGGAAGUGGAAUUUCAGGUGUAGCGGUGAAAUGCGUAGAUAUCUGAAGGAACAUCAGUGGCGAAAGCGACUUCCUGGACCAAUACUGACGCUCAUGUGCGAAAGCGUGGGGAGCAAACAGG
rnacentral:rRNA from 1 species